rnacentral:rRNA from 1 species
GAAACCCCGUCCUCAGUUCGGAUUGGAGUCUGCAACUCGACUCCAUGAAGCUGGAUUCGCUAGUAAUCGCGCAUCAGCCAUGGCGCGGUGAAUACGUUCCCGGGCCUUGUACACACCGCCCGUCAAGCCAUGGGAGCCGGGAGUGCCUGAAGUCCGUGACCGCGAGGAGCGGCCUAGGGUAAGACCGGUGACUGGGGCUAAGUCGUAACAAGGUAGC